rnacentral:rRNA from 1 species
UACGGAGGGUGCAAGCGUUGCUCGGAAUUAUUGGGCGUAAAGGGUAGGUAGGUGGUCUCGUUUGUCUGGGGUGAAAGCCUUGAGCUUAACUCAAGAAGUGCCCCAGAAACGGCGAGACUGGAGUCUUGGAGAGGGUCGUGGAAUUCCCGGUGUAGCGGUGAAAUGCGUAGAGAUCGGGAGGAACACCAGAGGCGAAGGCGGCGACCUGGACAAGUACUGACACUCAACUACGAAAGCGUGGGGAGCAAACAGG